UCACAGAAACAUAACCUCCUCCUCCUCAUCAGAUCACGGCUAUUCCUGACUAGCGUUUUCUGGUCGACCUUCUCACUUGUUCUGUCUGACUUUUUAAAAAUCAUUUUGUUAGUUCUGGUGUGGUGUCAUUAGGAUAAUUGUUUCGCUCUGUUCUUUCUGCUUAAUUAUUAAUGAUGCUGAGGAAGUCAAAAGAUAGCUUCAAUAAUGUAUUUUUCAGCUGUAGAUUCAUCCACUGACAGGAUCUACACAUCGCUACAGCACACCUCCCGUGUUCUGCGCUGGGAAGUUAGAAGAAACUCAGGCUACUUGGAGCAUCCAGGCAUGAACACAUUGGUACCAGUAAACUUAAACCUAAUACAUGCUUUGGUCUCCUGCCUUCAUUGCCUACCUUGAAUCACAGAAUUUCCAAAGUAUGUCACAGGACCAUUUAUUUCUAACCUCAAAGUUAAACAUUUUCUGUGA